rnacentral:lncRNA from 1 species
AGACUUUGAAUGAGUCUGUUCAAAACAGCGACUCUGAGCAAAGUUCGGGUGAGUGUGAGAAGAGUAAAACGGAGGUUGAUGCACCUGACAGUUCACCUAGUGUAGAUCCGGUUAAGUCUGUGGGGCGUGUUAAGGUUAAACUGAAGACCUCCUCCAAAGCACUUGAACCUGAUGUUCCCUUGACUACUCCUCAAAAAGAGGAUCCUGUUCCUCCUCGUUUGCCUGAGCGAAAACCAGUUCUCAACGUUUAUAGGAAGAUGAAAGGUAUUAAGAUCAAGUCCUGGAAGGCGGUUGAUGGGUCUAGCUCUGUUUCUGAGAAGCCCCUAGAUGCAGUUGAUAAGGAGACGAAGACGCCUGAUGAGACUUCUCAAGUCAAGAAGCUUGAACCUGAUAGUGCACCCGUUUCUUCUCAGAAGAAGACUGAUAACAAUAAGCAAGAACUGGAAGAUUCUCUUACGGUGUCGUGUCUACCUUGUUUGUUUGUUUCUUCUUCUUUUUAUGGUAAUGAACAAUUUUAACUAAACCUUAUUGGUCUUAGGUGGUCAAGAAGAUUAUGAAGAUGGAAGCUGCUGAUCCCUUUAAUGUUCCUGUCGACCCAGAAGCUCUUGGGAUUCCUGUAAGUGUGUGAUCCAUUAGCUUCAUCUUUAUUUUAUAUAUCCGAACAUAUCAACUUUGGCUUGUGAAAGCUCAUCCCCUUCAUAGGUAAAAUAGUUCUGUGUGUUUUCUUGUAAACAGACAAAAAUCAUUUUGAUCUCAACUUAAAAUUUCUUUACUACAUUUACUAGUCUUGUUAUUUAGCAUAGGGUAUGGGUUCAUCUUUAUGUGAAGGAAAUAAUACUUGUUUUAAAUCUUUUCUUUGCUUGUCAAGGGGUUUCAGAAUUGUUGUCUAACACGUUUAGCUGUUUUCGGGUUAUGUAAUUAGGACUAUUUCGAUAUCAUCAAGACACCUAUGGAUUUUGGAACAGUAUGCAGUAAUCUUGAAAAAGGCAACGUAUACAUGAAUUCUGAGGAUGUUUACAAGGAUGUCCAGUACAUCUGGAAUAACUGUUCCAAGUACAAUAAGAAAGGCGAUUAUAUCGUCGACCUGAUGAAGCGAGUCAAGAAAAAUUUCAUGAAGUACUGGGCUGCCGCCGGAUUGUAUACUGAGCAAUCUGCAGGUAUUGUUAAAAAAUUAAUCUUCUCUAGCAUUUUACUUUUUCUUCUCACGCAUUGUUAAAUUUGGUAGGUGUAGUUUUACGUUUCUGGUUCCCCUUAGGCAUAUAAAGUAGACAUUGUGAACACAUAAAACUUUUAACAAUACCUGCAGAUUGUUAACAAUGUACAGUACUGGCAUUGUUUCUGGUAGCUAUGCACUUUGGGCUGAGUAAUAUAGCUUACGGUUUAACUUAUAUGGUUUCUUCGAUUUACGAUCAGAGAAUGCUCAAGUAGAGGAUGGUGGAAAUGCAUCCUCCAAAGGUAGUCAAUCCAAGCAGAAGAGCCAGAAGCGCCAUGGGUAUAUGCCUUUGAAACUUCUUUUUUUUUUCCUUAAUGAUACGUGGGGACUCAUAAGCAUAGUUUGGUUUCAAUGUUUCAUCAGUCUUCCUAGGUUUUAUAGACAAGAGGUUAUCUUUUGCAAAGCUACUGUAACCUAGGUUUUGUCAAAUUGUAUUCUGUUUUCUGUAUAGAGCUUGUGUUGUCCUUUAUUACUGGGAUUGGGAUUUGUGAUGGGAUUCAGUUUCAUUUGAUAGUGUCAUUACUUUCGCUUUGCAGAAGGCAUCACAAGAGUGAUUGCAUGUGUGCGGUAUGUAUUUUGAAGAGACGUAAAAGAGAACGUCACAGUUCUCAAGGAAAUUCUGGAGCAGUAGAGGUUAGUAAUGUGUUUUGUUUAUCCAAAGAGAGCACACAGCCCGGGUGCUUGGCUUCCAUUGGCUGUAACUAAAUAUCAUUCUUUCUUGAAGGAAUCUUCACCUGUGAGAAGUCCGUCUGUGGAUAAUUCAUCUAUUAAUAUGCGUGAGGAGCAGGACAUGGAUGUUGAUGUCGACAACAAAACAAGACAAGGAAAAGCAGAAAUCGUGGAACUAGAUAGUCCAGUGGCAAAAAGACAAAGAGUUGGUGAAUAUAAAAAACAAAAUGUGGAGGGAGAGGAGACCCUUGAGGUGGAGACUGAAACUAAAACUAAACCUACUGUCGAGGAUAAGACUCAAUCGAUUGAUAGAUCGACAGAAGAGACUGGUGACGAGCCCGUGACUAGUGCUGCCGAGAAAUUGGCUGUUUUAGCUUCUGUUGAAGGCCCAAAAUCAACUCAGAAUGAAGAGGAAGACAAGGCAAAACGACUCCGGGAGCAGAAGGUACUCUCCGAGCUUUUAUUAUGAUGUUUUGAUUAAGCAGCAAGCACUACUGAGAGUAAUUGUAUUAUUGCAGGAGCUGCAGGAGUUAGAGCGUAAACAAUGGAGAGCUAAGAUGCAUGAGAAGUUCCAACUCAGAAACCCUCAGCUGCUAAAUCUUUGCGAGACUAUCUUUCCUAAAAGCAACAAUCAAAGUUCUGUCUGGAACGGACCUCACUCACUGUUUAAACGUCCAGAAGGCUCAAAUCGUACUAGUUCCUUGCACAAAGCAGUGGAAGCCUUGAUGAGAAGUAGUAGUUAAGGAUUCACAAUGUAACAUAAGUAUUUAGCUAUCGUUCUUCGCUUUGCCUGUUUAGAUAUGUUUGAUUGAUACAUCAAAUGUCAAACACCAUAAGAUUCUUUUCACUGAAAGCAGAAACAUCAAUUUGUUCAUGAAUUUUUAGACAAAAUGGAUUCGCUUUUACAUAAUGAUUUGACUGCCAUGAGACGAUAAGAAGGGAAUAAAACGUCAAUUAAGGCAUUGACUUAACUAUUCCACACAAUGUCAAAAAAUUGUCCAGUUGAUUAUUGGGUUAAGUUGUGUUUCCUUAAAAAAAACCUACAGAAUUACCAAAUGUGAUUAUGAUAUAUAUAGUAAUUAAUGAUUUCAAAUAAUGAAGAUUUGCUAAUAAUCUGUAUACUUUCUAUCAUUUUUGUUUAAUUUUUUAUUAUUAAAAUAAAUUACACAAUUACAUUGAUCAUAUAUUAAAAAUUUAUAUUUUUUUGUAUAUGUUGUAUUUUGAAUUUUUGAAAACGAGUACAAAUUACUAAAAUUGUUAAAAGUCUCACAUAAACUUGUGUGAUCAAUGUUUAAAUAUUUUCUAUAAUAAGAUACUAUGAUAAUAAAAUCAUAUAAAUAAAUAAUUUUAUUUUAGUAGGUGUUUAUGUUAAUAUAUAUAUACUUCAUAUCGUUUAAAUUUAAUUAUAUAUAAUAUACGAUAGAUAAGAUUGAUUGUUUUGAUCUAUUUAUCCUAAAAUGAUUGCGAAUAAACAAGCGUGGUCAUUUGAUUUAUAUGUGCAAGUCAAUUUAUUACAUGAUAGUAACUGAUGUCUUAGUUAUUUAAUAUAUAAUUAUUAUUUUACUAUUUCAUAAUAUGCAUAAAAAUAUAAAAUAAGUAAUAUAUAUAUAAAAUAUUUAUUCUUCACAAGACGUCGAUCUUAACCUAAGUAUGUAUCUCUUUAAUAAUUUUGAAUCUUAAACAUUUUUUAAAUCUGAGGCGAAAUAAAAUAAAAAAAUGAGAAUAAACUCAAAAAUCAAUAUUUAUAUCAAGCAAUAACCAAAAUAACACAAAAAGGAGAAAAAUAUCGAAGAUAAAUAGGAUUGACACGUGAACGUAAACUUCUCAUAAACAUAAUUAACUUUUAAAUUGUUAAAUCAUGAUAUAAAACCGAGCUGACAUAGUUUCACUGUAACCAAAUAGUAGGCAUGAGAUUCUUCGGCCUAAACGUUAGGUUUUUAUGCGAUAAAUAAUUUUUGACCUAAAAUAUUUUAAAAAAUAGGAUUAGUUCAUUAGUAGACAAAUUAUGUAAUUAACAAAAAAAAAAUUUUAAAUUUUUUUAAGGACCAAAAAUAUUAAUUCGAUCAAUAAUCUAAAUUUUAUUUUCAUACGAUAUUUUUAAAUAAUUUUCAUUUAAAUUUACUCUGCGCAAGACGCAUGUCUUAUCCUAGUACAAUACUACAACAUAUUUUGCCAAACCCUAGACCAAAGAAUAUCAUGACUCACUACUUUCACUCAUCUAUGUUGAAAAUAAUUCAAUUUUAUUAUAUUUUAAUUUAUAUCACUUAAAACUGUUUAUAAUUACAUGAUUUUAAUUUUUUGCUUAUCAAAAUAUUUUUUACAAAAUUUAUAAAUUAUUUUUAAGAUCCACUACACCAGACAACUUCCGUAACUUCCGUGGACGUCGUCCAGAAGACUCGGAAGACUUAGCAGGGAUAUAUUCGUAAAAAUGAGUUAUGUUUUUAUGUUUGGUCACAAGGGACUGUGUGUAAUUUCACAAGGUUUUUAGGUUACUUUUUGCAUUUGAUUCAAAUUUGGGUAUAUUUUUACAAUCAAAGUCAAAUUUUGAAUCAUAUUUGGCAAAUUCAUUUGAAAGGGCUGUAAUGUCAAAAAGUCCAUAGUUACCCAAAACAUUACUGGAAGGGUUGUAAUGUCAAAAAAUUCAUUAAAAUUUUGCAUAUUUGAGUUUUUGACGCUUGUUUUGUUUUGGAUUUGGCACAUAUGCAUUUUUUGCUUGGCCCAUAACAAACCCAUUAGCAAAAACGACGACGUAAGUGUUAAAUCUGCAGAGAAGGGUCUUAAAACUCUAAAAAAGCACCGAAUCGUCUGGGGUCUAAUAAGCGACGCUCGAAGAAUUACGAGUCGAAAGUCGAAAGCGCGGUCUCGUCGAGUUCUAUUAAAAGUUUGUUUGGUAAAAAUCUCUGUUUCCCUCCAACUUUUUGAAUCUCUCCCUCUUCCUCUUCCCCCGCAAGAUUCUCUGCUCUGCUGGUUUGCCCUAGAUCUAGUGUUUAGUGAGUGAUUCAAGAUUGUUUUGAUUCGAUUAGCCUAUAUAUGAUCGGAUCUCUUGAUUGCAAAUUGUUUGUCUUCUUUCGGAUAAUCUAAUCCAAUCAAGGUUUUUGCAGGAGUCUCUCGCUCGUAGCUGUGAUGAAGCGUAAGGGAGGACAUAAGAAAGGGAACAAGUCUAAAAAGUCCACCGAACCAGAGACUUUGAAUGAGUCUGUUCAAAACAGCGACUCUGAGCAAAGUUCGGGUGAGUGUGAGAAGAGUAAAACGGAGGUUGAUGCACCUGACAGUUCACCUAGUGUAGAUCCGGUUAAGUCUGUGGGGCGUGUUAAGGUUAAACUGAAGACCUCCUCCAAAGCACUUGAACCUGAUGUUCCCUUGACUACUCCUCAAAAAGAGGAUCCUGUUCCUCCUCGUUUGCCUGAGCGAAAACCAGUUCUCAACGUUUAUAGGAAGAUGAAAGGUAUUAAGAUCAAGUCCUGGAAGGCGGU